AUUCAACUACUUCUCCCUGCUCCACGAGCCCAAUGCAAGUGAAAGUUAUUGUGAGACCUGACAUUUUAAUUUCAAAUAGAUAACAUAUAUAUAUACUUACAUGCUUAUAUAUAUACAUAUAUAUAUCAUACACGUUGUUGGAGCCAAAAAAAAAGAAAAAAAAACAAAGAAAGAAGAAAAGGUUAAAUGGGCUCCACGUGGUCUUGAAGACCACCCCAUUUUUCCACCGCCAUUCCUUUCUUUCUUUUUUCCUUCUUGUUCUGCUCUGUUUCAACGGAGGAGGGGGAAACGAAAAAAAAAAGGAAGCAGAGCAAUAGAUAGAGAGAGAGAGAGAGUUGAGUUAAGAGGAUACGGUGGAGAAGAAGAUGAUGAAGGAUAAGUUCGGGGGAGUUCUUGAUUGAGCUAAGGAGACUGAGUCUAUACAACCUGAGACUCUUCUCGUUGAAUAAAUUUUUGGGAGCACUCCAUGGGACCACUGGACUCGGCGGAAUACAAAAUGGGCCAAAUCGGCCACUGGACCCCAGCGGAAUACAAAUAUGGCAUGAUCGACCGCUGGACCCAGCGGAAUAUAAAUAGGGCAUGAUCGGCCGCUGGACCCGACGGAAUACAAAUAGGGGCCAGAUCGGCCGUUGG